ACAAAUUUGUUCUUAGAAGUUGUAUCAACCACAGAAGAAAAGGAAUAACCAUCAAAUCAUCUGAAGAAAAGUAGAGAUACAGAAAAUUAUAUAAAAUAGAAAACAAUUACAAGAUAGAAAAUGUAUGUUAUAGUGUGACAACAUUAAAUGUGGCAGCAGAAUGUUUGAGCCUACUUUCCAUUCCACUUGAACAUGGAUCUGUGAAAAAGCUGUAGCAGCAAUGUUAAUCAAUGCAUAGAGGAUGAAAAAUCUCUGGCCUCAUGCAUUCCUUGAUAUGUUUAUUGCUUCCUACAGAAUUUAAGUAUUUGAUCCAGUUUUUUCUCCAGCAACCACCUUUGUUGCCCACCAGCCCAAAAGAGAGAGAUGAAGAGAUAAAUACUGGACUACAGGGAGUAAGGUGCUGCAUGGCCAUAUCAAGCUACUUGUAAGAAUAAAAAUGGUAACAUUUCGGUGGGCCGCUGGGUUCGGUGAAGGAUCUCAAGAUGGCUGGGUGAAAACUUGCUCUAAAAACCAUUGACUGAGUGAGUAGCUUUUGGGGAGAUCACACCCCGAAACCAGAAGGCCAUUGCCAACC
rnacentral:lncRNA from 1 species